UACGGAGGGGACUAGCGUUGUUCGGAAUUACUGGGCGUAAAGCGCACGUAGGCGGAUUUGUAAGUCAGGGGUGAAAUCCUGGAGCUCAACUCCAGAACUGCCUUUGAUACUGGCGAUCUCGAGUCCGGGAGAGGUGAGUGGAACUCCGAGUGUAGAGGUGAAAUUCGUAGAUAUUCGGAAGAACACCAGUGGCGAAGGCGACUUCCUGGCCUGUUCUUGACGCUGAGGCGCGAAAGCUAGGGGAGCAAACGGG
rnacentral:rRNA from 1 species